rnacentral:rRNA from 1 species
GCUGGCGGCACGCCUAACACAUGCAAGUCGAACGCAGUAGCAAUACUGAGUGGCAAACGGGUGAGUAUAAUGUGGGAAUCUGCCUUUUGGUUUGGAAUAACACGGGGAAACUUGUGCUAAUACCGAAUAAGCCUUUACAGGGAAAGUUUUAACGCCGAAAGAUGAGCCCGCACUUGAUUAGCUAGUUGGUAAGGUAAAAGCUUACCAAGGCAAUGAUCAAUAGCUGUUCUUAGAGGAAGACCAGCCACAUUGGGACUGAGACACGGCCCAGACUCCUACGGGAGGCAGCAGUGGGGAAUCUUGCACAAUGGGGGAAACCCUGAUGCAGCGAUGCCGCGUGAGUGAAGAAGGCCUUUGGGUUGUAAAACUCUUUCGUCGGGGAAGAAAAUGACUGUACCCGAAUAAGAAGGUCCGGCUAACUUCGUGCCAGCAGCCGCGGUAAUACGAAGGGACCUAGCGUAGUUCGGAAUUACUGGGCUUAAAGAGCUCGUAGGUGGUUAAAAAAGUUGAUGGUGAAAUCCCAAGGCUUAACCUUGGAACUGCCAUCAAAACUUUUUAGCUAGAGUGUGAUAGAGGUAAGUGGAAUUUCUAGUGUAGAGGUGAAAUUCGUAGAUAUUAGAAAGAACACCAAAUGCGAAGGCAACUUACUGGGUCACUACUGACACUGAGGAGCGAAAGCAUGGGUAGCGAAGAGGAUUAGAUACCCUCGUAGUCCAUGCCGUAAACGAUGUGUGCUAGACGUUGGAAAUAUAUUUUUCAGUGUCGCAGCGAAAGCAUUAAGCACACCGCCUGGGGAGUAC